UUUAAUUCGAAGCAACGCGCGGAACCUUACCAUCCUUUGACAUGGCGUGUUACCCAGAGAGAUUUGGGGUCCACUUCGGUGGCGCGCACACAGGUGCUGCAUGGCUGUCGUCAGCUCGUGUCGUGAGAUGUUGGGUUAAGUCCCGCAACGAGCGCAACCCACGUCCUUAGUUGCCAUCAUUCAGUUGGGCACUCUAGGGAGACUGCCGGUGAUAAGCCGCGAGGAAGGUGUGGAUGACGUCAAGUCCUCAUGGCCCUUACGGGAUGGGCUACACACGUGCUACAAUGGCGGUGACAGUGGGACGCGAAGGAGCGAUCUGGAGCAAAUCCCCAAAAGCCGUCUCAGUUCGGAUUGCACUCUGCAACUCGAGUGCAUGAAGGCGGAAUCGCUAGUAAUCGUGGAUCAGCAUGCCA
rnacentral:rRNA from 1 species